AACGAACGCUGGCGGCGUGGAUAAGACAUGCAAGUCGAACGGGACAGACCGAGUAGCAAUAUUUGGAAUGUUCAGUGGCGAACGGGUGCGUAACACGUGGAUAACAUUCAGGAAAGCGGGGAAUAGCCCAGGGAAACUUGGAUUAAUACCGCAUGUGGCCGCAAGGCUAAAGACGGGGACCGCAAGGCCUGUCACUUUCCGAUUGGUCCGCGGCCUAUCAGCAAGUUGGCGGGGUAAUGGCCCACCAAGGCUACGACGGGUAGCUGGUCUGAGAGGACGACCAGCCACACUGGAACUGAGACACGGGCCAGACACCUGAGGGUGGCAGCGCUCGAGAAUCUUUGACAAUGGGGGCAACCCAGAUGGAGCGACGCCGCGUGGAGGAUAAGGUCUUCGGAUUGUAAACUCCUGUCAUGCGAGAGCAAGUUACUCAGGCUAAUAACCUGAGUGUUUGAUGGUACCGCAAGAGGAAGAGACGGCUAACUCUGUGCCAGCCGCCGCGGUAACAC
rnacentral:rRNA from 1 species